GUAGGAAACGCCGGAGAAAGUAACGCCACCCGCGCGCUACGGCCACCGCGCCGCGCAGCUCCGAAAAGAGACCGCGUUCUCAGGAGCCCGACUUUCCCAGGGGCUGCCCCAGACCCGCAGCCAUGCGAUGGGUGAAUUAACCCAGGCUGAAAUAGAGCUUCUCACGGCUUUUCCUCUCCUUAACAACUGCGUUCUUAAAGGAAAAAGACCAUAUCCUGCCGGUUUCUUUCAGUACUGAAGAUACAAGGAUCGCUUCUGGGUGUGGAAGUGGUGGUUCAGUAACCACAAGAGAAACACCCACCCAACAGCUAUGUAACUCCAGAGCAGCUGCAGUGAAACACAACAGCAGCUGAGGAGGAACAGCUCUGUUCCAGACUUUAUGAUGUACCCCGAAGCAGUCGGUCCCAGAGAUGUGCAGUCCCUUUGCAUUUAUAUCCACAUCAAAAUUCACGGACUUUGAGAGUGGCAGCUCAUCCUGACUGCCUUUUGGCAGCAUCGCUGCAGCCGUUUUUGUGGUAUCUGUAGGUUAAGCCAUGCUUUGUAAGGAAGCUGCUUCCUUCUGACGCUGGUAUGAAGCAAAACGAUUAACCUGCACCACGGGAGCUCGUGUGCCACAUCACAGCCAGAGAACGACCAGCGCUGAAGGUUCCCUAUGGCUCCAAUUCUCAGAGCAGCGUCCCCACGACAGUUCCUGAUUCCCACCCCCAGGACACGGCCAAGACUUCCCUGCUCGCCUCCAGCAGAUGCCCUCUCCGCAGGGCUGCUCCCCGAGCACAGAACCCGGCUGUGGCACCAAAGCCCACAGCAGCAGAAAUAAGCACCGACUGCUGGGCAGACGGAUCCAACUCACUCAGCUUUUUUUUACCGUUGCUGCAAAGAAAUCCUGGAGUAUCCCCUGGCCCAGCAGGGUGUCCCAGGCUGCAGGCAGCUGUCUGCCCUGCCCACCGCAGUUUCCUCUUGCCUCACCAUCACUUAUCAGUGCAUUUAGCAUUCUUCAGAUCCUGACAGCCCUAUGCCUCUCCCUCCCCACCUCCCUGCAUCCCUCGUGUUCCCACCGCUAUUAGCCGUGCCUUUAUUCUCUUGGCUCUUUUUUUUACUCUCAUCAGACACCUCGAGGAGAGCAGUUUUCCUGGAACACGGCUUACUGAAACAGGAGGUUUUGCUUCAUUAUCUGAGCAAGCAAAGGAGCCGGGAGCCCUUUACGUGCUUUCUGUUAAGAAGUGAGAACGUGGCGAUGUUCCUGCGAAGCCCACAAGAUAUUGCCUCGGUGGUGUUCCGCAUUUCGAACUUGUCCACGCUUGCCCAAUUGUAAUUGUGUAACGCCAUUAAACACACUGUUACCAUAUAGUCAUUGGCCAGAGGAAAAGGCAGCACUGUGCUCCUGAACCCAGCUGUGCAGGAGAUACUGUCAAUACAUAGCACCGACAUUAAAAGAAAAGAAAAACAAACAAACAAAAAAAUGCAAAUGGAUUUGGGAGGACUUCUACUAAUUUUCAGUCGGUUUCUGCCUGAGCUGUUACGCUGUAGAUGUUGCAAGCAGGUUAAGGGAGGAUCUACAAAUGCAUGAGUUUUAGCCAUUAAAAUCAAGAGCUAUGGACAUGUCCUGAUUUAUUUCCAUGCACACAAAGACCAAAGAGACGGUAAGCCUCCUGCAAACAUGUCAGUUCCACCAUCCUGAGCCAGACAAGGCCCUAACGCAGUACCUCAAAGACUGCAAAGCCAAGACCUAAAGCACUGGACUCCACAAGUCCUCCUGCAGCCAUACCAAACCUCAGUCCUCACAUGUGAAAAUUAUUCUUAAAUUGGGUUUUCAGUGAUUAUACGCAUUCAUGUCCUGGCAAGAUGCUGAUGGAAAUGGCACAAGUUCCAUGCAGUUCCACGUGCAAUGCUUUAUUCAGCUGAACAUUAAAGAGGUGUUUCUUCAUCUGGCUAUUUCUGACUUUAGCAGCACUGGAAAAGGAAUAUACAAUUGCACAGAACAGGGCAUGGGCAGCUGAGAAAGUGGGGAGGCAUCCUCUGUUACAGAUACAGGAUAAGGAGGAAUAACAAAUCAAAGAGAAAAAGGUGCUAACAGAGAGCCCUUGGGCACGGGCAACUUUGCCAGAAGCACUUCUGGUGCUGGCACUGCUGGAGGGUGGGAGCUCACUUGCUGCCGGUGUGCAAGGGAAGGGCUGGCUUAGGGAAGGCCUAGAAGCUGGCCUCAAUCCCCAGUAUCAGUCACUCCAGCUGCUCUCUCAGAGCAGAAUGUGGGGUGGGAGCCCCAAGGCUAGGGUAGCCCAGCUGCCCACUCAGGGACCUCGGGAGUCAGGCAGCACGGCUGACAGAUGCACGAGAGGUAUGUGAACUCUUUGUCUCCUGUGCAGGUUGUAAGUGCUGAGGCAAGUAACAUUUCAUAGCACUAGGUACUGCACAAGCAAGUCAUAAAUAACCAUCCCUGUACUAUGGACCUCGCAGGCUGAGAGGAAGCCUUGCACUCACAGCCCCAUCCAUUAACAAUGUUGACCUUGAAGUAGUCCUGACAGCAAGGCUGCAGAGGAGCCAAGCAGCAGAACAUUUGCAAGUAGUUGCACUCAAGCGGAAAGACAACCCUCCGGCACGUCCGACCCAGGAUCGCCUACUGCUGCACAACUGUGCCGUGCCGCGCAGCCAAGCGCGGUACCUCUGGGAGGGCAGCUCGCAUGGGGCCGGUGAGUGCAGCCGCUCACCCCUUCUCGACCCCACAGCUCAGCCAAGCAGCACCGUGAACUUGAAAACACUGCACUCUCACUACCAAAGAGCCAGCUGGGUUACUCACCUGUGAGCUUCCCCUGUGCGGCACCUGGCCGGGCUGCUUCAUCGUCAGCAGUUUCUUGAUGUAAAAUGGCAUUCAUCCUGACAGAUGCUAACAAGGUGUUUUCUUCCUCCUACAAAAGAGGGAGGACAGCUGUGGGGUUUACUUUAACAGUCACCGUCUGUAAAGUCACUGUAAAGCUUUCUGUCAUCUCCAAAAUAUUUUUCUACUUGUUCAUUAUAAGGUCUACCGACUGCUACAGAAUAGCAAGGGCUGUAAUAGCAGCACUACACAUUAAGGACAGCUUUAAUUACGUGCACAAUAUCUACGUAAAUCUCAGAUAGCAUCUUCUGCAUAAAAGGCAGGGUUGGUUUGUUUGCCUCUUAUCCUCACAGUCUGGAAUUUGAUUGCUUCUUAUGGUGUAACAUUCAUUUGGCUAGGCUCUAGUUAAUUACUUAGGGUGGUAAUUAAAUUAACCUUGCUUAAGGUUUUUGGUUGCUUGUUUUUGUUUUUGUUUUAAAGAGGGUUCUUCAGCAGUCCCAGCCUGUUGGGUUAAAUCCCCAAGCACUGGAAAGUAAGCUCACCUAACAGUGCUCCCAUGUAACCCAAGUCACUGAGAAGUGAGGUGGCUUAGCCAAGGUCUCGGCUAACUCUGUGGUUUGCUUUUAACUGUUCUGCUGUCAUAACUGUGCUAAGCAGUCAUUAGACUCAGCACAGGCAAACAGAUCAGGCCCUUGCUGAGUCAGUGGCACAGUCAGGAGAACUCCAACAUCCUGCCAUAGACAGCGAUGAUUAAGGCACAGUACAAAAGGAAAUGAAAGUCUUCAACUUUUCUACAG
ensembl:lncRNA